rnacentral:rRNA from 1 species
UACGUAGGGGGCAAGCGUUGUCCGGAUUUAUUGGGCGUAAAGAGCGUGUAGGCGGCCAAGCAGGUCCGCUGUGAAAACUCGAGGCUCAACCUCGGGACGUCGGUGGAAACCGUUUGGCUAGAGUCCGGAAGAGGAGAGUGGAAUUCCCGGUGUAGCGGUGAAAUGCGCAGAUAUCGGGAAGAACACCCGUGGCGAAGGCGGCUCUCUGGGACGGUACUGACGCUGAGACGCGAAAGCGUGGGGAGCGAACAGG